ensembl:snoRNA U3 Small nucleolar RNA U3
AAGACUAUACUCUCAAGGAUUAUUUCUUUAGCUUUUGGCUUGGAAACGUGAAAAGAAAGUUAUUUUCCCCUUCUUAAGAUGAUUAUUUGUGAUGCUUUUCUUUAAACAGACAUUGGAGGUCUAUUGAACCUUUUUCAGUAUGUUGCUGAUGAUUGUUCUUGUUAUUCUCUUUUAGAGACGCAAGAGAGAAAAAAGCAGGACUGGA